GUACGGAGACGGGCAUUCAAGUUGCUACCCACACGGGUAUGAGGACGGGUACGGGUAAUUUUUUAAAACGCGGGUAUGGGAAUGGGUUCAUCAUCUCAAGCUUCCAAAACCAGAUGUCCAAGUUGCUUUAUAGGUUUUGUGCCUACACUCUAUUUUGAAUUCACCCCUGUAUACUGUAAGCAACUAAUUUUCCCUAUAAAUUCACCCAUCCACUGAGAAUGUGAGCAUAUUCAUGUUGUUAAUCCCGUCCCCUCUUCAACUGAAUUUCAGUUCAAUUGGACUUCUCUUUAAUAAAGUGGCUUCAAGAUCUUGCUGGAUUCCCGAUGGAGAAAGCAAAACUACUACUAAUGAUUAUGCUCUUUAUACUGUGACGCUCUUCAGUCAUGUUGCGGACAAUUUUAGAAACAAUGCUCGGGAAAAAGGGAUCCAAGAUUUUAAUCUCGGAAGUUUUUAACACAAAAUCUAUGGAUUGAAAAAUGCACACCUAAUGAUAAGUUGGUAAGUAACAGAUUAAUGCUUUCACUAAAGGGGUUUAAUGGAAUUAUAUGUCGUUGUAUUCAAGUUCGUAAUUUUGAAUACAGUCCAUAAACACAUAAGAAUCGAAAGCAGGAGAUAGAUAAGUUGGUGCGAGAUUAGGAAAAUUUUAGGGGUUCUCUGUUGCAAUGGUGCUACACCAGUUAUGGAGAGGUAUUGUUCAUUUAUUUAUUAUGUCAUUUAAUUCACAGAAACAGCCAAGAAUAUUGUGGGAACAAGCACGUUGAGUUAAAUGAUUGUUUUCAAAUUGGAUUUCAUAUAUCUUGAUGUGUGGGUUUCUGGACUACCCUCUCAUUCUGUUAGAUUGACACUGGUAUUCCUUAGUUUUCUCUGUUCUGUUCAAAUUAGUAGUGAUUCCUUAAAUUUCUAUGUUUCUCACUUCAGUUUAUUAUUGCCAUGUUAUCCUAAAAUUCCAUGGCUCUUCUCGCCCACUACUUUAAUUUUAUAUCUUCUGAAGGUAUUCACAUCAUGGAUGCACUUUUGUGCUGUACGUUUAUUUGCUGAGAGCAUAUCUAACAAAAGUUCUAGCAUUAAUUUACUAAUUGUGUGUCAUUUUCUUUUUGAGAACACUUCCCACUGAGAUUUUUGUUGAGGUUGGGUUACUGAGAUAAGAUGGUGGGUUCUCUGUCUAUUGCAGGUUCAUCAGUGUUGGACUAUAGAGGUGAGCAGUUCCUUCAUUGUCCGUGCGUGGGAGUGGAGGCUCAGUCUGAGCAAAAGGUUGCAAGAAGCACCGUAGGAAGAAAAGCGGAUUUUAAAACGAUAUGAGAUCUGCUUCAACCCUCAUUAUGAGCAACUCUUCUAGCUGGAAUUAGAACCACUGCAAGGCUAGAGAAGGGACGUGGAAGAGUAAAUUAAGAGCGGUAAAGCAGAGAUAUGGAGACAUCUAUUAACAACACUACAAAGGAAGGGAGAUCAAUUUUCUCUACAUUUGAUACAUUGAUACACUAUACCCCUCUUCCUGUAGUUUUGCUGCCUUCAAGUCCAUUAACGGGCUAAAAGAAACCAAUUAUGCCAUCAUCUCAAGAUGAAUGUUCCAAUGUCCAAACCCUUACUUUAAUCCCUGUUGUGAAUUUAUUUUCCUUCUUUUAUAUAUUUAUUAUUUAGUUUGUUUCCUUUAAUCCCUGAUGAGUUGUUUUUUGGGUGCAGUUCACUGCAUAUGCUUCGUCUGAGAAAGAGGGACAUUUAAGGUUUUUCUUGGUCACAACUCGCUUGCUUACACAGUUGAAGUUCAGGUGGUGAACUGUUUAUGUUUUGUCUAAAAGACUUCUAAAGUGGAUUAAUAGAUCCAAAAGUAUAUUUUUAGUGGUGUUAGCUUGGCAUGGGCUCAAGACGCAAGUUCAUUAUUUUACACUAUGUCAUAUGAAAGUAGUGACCUAACAUGUAAAAGUGUUAUUGGUUAUUCAUUUUCAUUAUUUUUUGGGGUUGGAGGAAGGGAAUGAAUUUUAGCUUUUUUUUUUUGGUCAAUAAUGAAUUUUAGCUUAAGAUAGUAUCUUAAGUUCAACUUUCAUGGAUUGGAGGGGCUGAUUCUUAUUGUAUCUUGAUGCAAAAUGGCUGUCCCAAGAUUGUGGUACUCUUUUUCCUUGCUAGGUUUUUAUCCCAAUGGGUUUUUCCUAGUAAGGUUUUAAUGAGGCUCUUUAUUGGGACUACGCUUUUGCCAUUUUGCGGGUUGGUGGUGGGCUUUUGUUUCUCAGCUUCAUGUAAAUGUACUUUGCCUGGUUUGCUUCUCUAGCUCAGGCUUUCUUAUUAAUAAUAUAUCUUCCAUUUUCAAAAAAAAAAGUUCAACUUUCAUGUGGUUUUAUGGCAGGGUUCUUUGUAAAAAUACUUGGAUAUGAUCCUGCGAAUGAUUUUGCAGUAUUUACAGAAAGUGAUUCCAAUUAUUGUGUGGACAUAGCAAGCACAAGAGAUGGCAAGUUCAUAACUGUGAACUUGAACUUAAGGACUUCAUUGGAGGAAGGAAGUAGACAAAAUGAAAAGGCCAACUCUUUUUUGUGGGUUUGUGAGUGUGUCACCAUUUUGAUGAGAAAAAUUGGUGUGAGUGCUGCAUCAGAGGGAGAAUUGUGAUAUUUGAAUAAAGGUGCCCCUUGGAGCAGUUCCUACCAGUUUUAUGUACUUAUCAUGUACUUCUCUUUGUUUCUGGUUAGAUAAUGUUAUUCACCAUUUACAUGUACCUUAAGGUGAUUGGAGCUUCACAAAUAUAA